GGAUGUGAGAUGAUCUGGCUGCGACAUUUGUCACCCCAUUGAUUGCCAGGGUUGAUUCGGCUGAUCUGGCUGGCCAGGCGGGUGUCCCCUUCUUCCCUCAAGGAUCCAUGUGCAUCCCACCCAAAGCUUUGCGCUCCAUCGAAGACGAUAACCACUCCCAACAGAAGAGGACUGUUCCUCCAUCAGAGGCAUAUGAGUAGCUGCGCCCUCCUGCUAGAACCUCCAAAUGAGCUGUCAAAGGACUUCAGACUGUUCUCUACUUACCAGAUAAAAUAUCUUAUAGUUUCAUAAACGCUGCAGAGGACAGAGGUGCUAC
rnacentral:snRNA from 1 species